UACGGGGGGGGCAAGCGUUGUUCGGAAUUACUGGGCGUAAAGGGUGCGUAGGCGGUCCGCUAAGUUGGAUGUGAAAACUCUGGGCUUAACCCAGAGCCUGCAUUCAAAACUGACGGGCUAGAGUUCUGGAGGGGGUAGCGGAAUUCCUGGUGUAGCGGUGAAAUGCGUAGAUAUCAGGAGGAACACCGGUGGCGAAGGCGCCACUCUGGGCCGAAACUGACGCUGAGGAGCGAAAGCGUGGGUAGCAAACAGG
rnacentral:rRNA from 1 species